GAGGAAACUGAAGCAGAGACGGUUAAACGUCAAAUAAGUUGCCUAAAGGGAGAAACCUGGAGCAGAAACCCAGAUGCUCCAGAAUCGCUUUCUGCAGGAAUCCAAGGACAAUGAGAUGAAGAUGUUCCCGUUCUGGUGGGUGCUAUACAUUGAGUGGUUGCAUCCAAGUGGUCAGACAUCAGGGCUUCAGGACUGGGGCGUCUGAAGCGUGGUGGUGCCGCCUCUCGCGUCCCCACUCUGACUCCAGAGAGCCGGCAGGUCUCGACCAGCUUUAAGUGAGUUCACUGCUGUGGUGACUGUCACAAGAGAGAUGCUGGGAACCACGCUUACAGGCAGAAUCCAAAACUUCAGCUCACACUUCAGAAAUUUCUAGCCUUCAAGACUUUUUCUAGAGAAAUAUCCAAGCAAGAAAAUAAACUACGCAUUAUUCAAGUCCUUCAACCUUGCUGUACAAACUUGUAGCCUGCCAGACUCCUUCCUCUGUCUAUGGGAUUUCCCAGGCAAGAAUGCUGGAGUGGGUUGCCAUUCCAGGGGAUCUUCCCAACCCAGGAUUGAACCAGGGUCUCCCACAUUGCCGGCAGAUUCUUUACCACCUGAGCCACCAAGGAAGCCUAGGUAUCUCAUAUACGUG
ensembl:lncRNA